CACCAGACUCCUACGGGAGGCAGCAGUGGGGGAUAUUGCACAAUGGGGGAAACCCUGAUGUAGCGACACCGCGUGGGUGAGGAAGCGCUUCGGCGUGUAAAGCCCUAUCAGUGGGGAAGAAAAAGGACGGUACCCAAAGAAGAAGCACCGGCUAAAUACGUGCCAGCAGCCGCGGUAAUACGUAUGGUGCAAGCGUUAUCCGGAAUGACUGGGUGUAAAGGGAGCGUAGACGGCGGUGCAAGCCAGAUGUGAAAGCCCGGGGCUCAACCCCGGGACUGCAUUUGGAACUGUGCUGCUAGAGUGUCGGAGAGGCAGGCGGAAUUCCUAGUGUAGCGGUGAAAUGCGUAGAUAUUAGGAGGAACACCAGUGGCGAAGGCGGCCUGCUGGACGAUGACUGACGUUGAGGCUCGAAAGCGUGGGGAGCAAACAGGAUUAGAUACCCGUGUAGC
rnacentral:rRNA from 1 species